UUUAGAUUUGGCAUGAUACCAAAUUAAAAUUAGUUCGAUUGGACGAGUUUGAUGACGAAGGUUUCAUAGAAGGAACUAGAAUAUUUGAUUUUUAUGGCAGAGUAUCUUAUACUAUUACUGCCAUAUCGCCCAUGUGCAAAGCAGUAUUUCUUAAAAGAAACACUCCUUUAGAUGAGAUUACUCCAUUGCCAAAAAUCUUCUUUGCAAAAACGCCUGAAGAGAAGAGUGCUUCGUAUGUAGGAAAAAGAACUGUAAAUGGCAUUGAUUAUGAAGUAUGGACACAAACUCACAAUGACGAUUUAACCGGAGCCACAGUAAUUCAGGAAUUCUAUUUUAUGGAGGUGAU